rnacentral:rRNA from 1 species
UACGUAGGGGGCAAGCGUUGUCCGGAUUUAUUGGGCGUAAAGAGCGUGUAGGCGGCCAGACAGGUCCGUUGUGAAAACUCGAGGCUCAACCUCGAGACGCCGAUGGAAACCGUCUGGCUAGAGUCCGGAAGAGGAGAGUGGAAUUCCUGGUGUAGCGGUGAAAUGCGCAGAUAUCAGGAAGAACACCCGUGGCGAAGGCGGCUCUCUAGUCCGGUACUGACGCUGAGACGCGAAAGCGUGGGGAGCGAACAGG